rnacentral:rRNA from 1 species
CCUACGGGAGGCAGCAGUAAGGAAUAUUGGUCAAUGGAGGCAACUCUGAACCAGCCAUGCCGCGUGCAGGAAGACAGCCCUAUGGGUCGUAAACUGCUUUUAUACGGGAAUAAACUUUGAUUCGUGAAUCAAGCUGAAUGUACCGUAAGAAUAAGGAUCGGCUAACUCCGUGCCAGCAGCCGCGGUAAUACGGAGGAUCCAAGCGUUAUCCGGAUUUAUUGGGUUUAAAGGGAGCGUAGGCGGCCUAUUAAGUCAGGGGUGAAAGACGGUGGCUCAACCAUCGCAGUGCCUUUGAUACUGAUGGGCUUGAAUAUAGUUGAGGUAGGCGGAAUGUGACAAGUAGCGGUGAAAUGCAUAGAUAUGUCACAGAACACCGAUUGCGAAGGCAGCUUACUAAGCUAUGAUUGACGCCGAGGCUCGAAAGCGUGGGGAUCAAACAGGAUUAGAUACCCUGGUAGUCCACGCCCUAAACGAUGAUAACUCGAUGUUGGCGAUAUACAGUCAGCGUCCAAGCGAAAGCGUUAAGUUAUCCACCUGGGGAGUACGCCCGCAAGGGUGAAACGUCAAAGGAAUUGACGGCGNGAGAGAGCGACGGACGACGACGAGGGGAGGAGG